CCUCCGACCCGCAUCUCUCCCCUGUAGGACAAGAUGGCUAGCAUCAAGUGUGGUUCCCGCCGCAAGGCCCGCCGUGCGCACUUUCAGGCCCCAAGCCAUGUGCGCCGUGUGCUCAUGAGCGCCCCGCUCUCCAAGGAGCUGCGUGCCAAGUACAACGUGCGUGCCAUGCCCGUGCGCAAGGACGACGAGGUCAUCGUGAAGCGUGGCACCUUCAAGGGCCGUGAGGGUAAGGUGACCGCGUGCUACCGCCUCAAGUGGGUCAUCCUCAUCGACAAGGUGAACCGCGAGAAGGCGAACGGCUCCACUGUGGCCGUCGGCAUCCAUCCCUCCAACGUCGAGAUUACGAAGCUGAAGCUGACGCACCACCGCAAGUCCAUCCUGGAGCGCAAGGACCGCUCGUCCAAGUCCGACAAGGGCAAGGGCAAGAUUAGCGCCGCGGAUAAGGCCAUGCAGCAGAUGGACUAGAGAUCUCGCCCAACGAGAUGGUGUGAAAGGGAUGCGUAUGUGAGAGAUGACGGAACUUCCCGUGGCCCCCUCCCCCACCUUUCUUCAUCUCUUCGCUGCCUCUUUCGCCUUCAUCGUCCCUUUCCUCGGCUCGUGCGCACUUGACACGCAGCGGUGCGCUCCGUCCUGCGAGGUGGCGAUGGCGGAGGUGGCGCGGGCGCGAUAGGCGAUACGCAGUAGAAGAAGGCGGAGGAGGGCGGAAGAGGCUGAAGAGUGCCGCGUUAUCUUCCCAUCUCCCAUCCCCCCCCCCACACACACACUCGCACACAUCGCGGGUGCUCACCUGGAGACGUUUGCGCGGUUCUCCUCAUCCCUUCUCUUUCUGAUUUCACUCAUUUCACUCGAUUGCGAAC
rnacentral:misc_RNA from 1 species